GGGAUUGUCGUCUGUAUCAACAGCGGGAAUUUCUACUUCUUCGACCUGGAAAUAUUUGUCGUGUUUUUCACUGGAAAUUGUUUGGUUAAAAAAUGAACGAUUACACUUAUUGGUUUACAUGCGAACUUUUGUUUAUUUUAUAUCCUUCUAUAUGUUGGAUAUGCAAAUUUCACGAAGCGUGGAUAGACACAACUGUCUUCACACAACCUACUUCAGAUUACUCCACUAAACACAAUACUCUAAUAAAUAGAAACUCUGAACAAUGUCAACAACUUCCAUGAACUCCCAUUGACUCUCUUUGUCUCAACCAAUAUGCUAAUUUUUUUAUAAGAGUUUUGCUAGUCCAUUCUUCCAAUCCCAUAGGGGUGCCAGUUUAUACAUGUAUAUUUUACCAAAACAAGUAUCCCCAUGCGAAGCUUCACCUGUAAACAUCAACGAGUGUUUAAGGAAUCCUUGUCGUUAUGGUGCCAUAUGUCAGAAUUUCCUAGGUUCCUACCGUUGUGCGUGCAAACCAGAAUUCGAUUACAUCGACCCCAGCGCGUAACUGGUACUUAUUUAAUCGACCCCGGUAGGACCCCUCGGCGGAAUUUGAACUCAGAACGUAAUAAUAAUAAUAAUAAA